rnacentral:rRNA from 1 species
GUGGGGAAUAUUGGGCAAUGGGCGCAAGCCUGACCCAGCAACGCCGCGUGAAGGAUGAAGGCUUUCGGGUUGUAAACUUCUUUUAUUCGGGACGAAACAAAUGACGGUACCGAAUGAAUAAGCCACGGCUAACUACGUGCCAGCAGCCGCGGUAAUACGUAGGUGGCGAGCGUUAUCCGGAUUUACUGGGUGUAAAGGGCGUGUAGGCGGGACUGCAAGUCAGGCGUGAAAACUAUGGGCUUAACCUAUAGCCUGCGUUUGAAACUGUAGUUCUUGAGUGCUGGAGAGGCAAUCGGAAUUCCGUGUGUAGCGGUGAAAUGCAUAGAUAUACGGAGGAACACCAGUGGCGAAGGCGGAUUGCUGGACAGUAACUGACGCUGAGGCGCGAAAGCGUGGGGAGCAAACAGG